rnacentral:rRNA from 1 species
UACAGAGGUCUCAAGCGUUGUUCGGAUUCAUUGGGCGUAAAGGGUUCGUAGGCGGUGUAGCAAGUCGGGAGUGAAAUCUCUGGGCUUAACCCAGAGGCUGCUUCCGAAACUGCUGUGCUUGAGUGUGGGAGAGGCGCGUGGAAUUGCAGGUGUAGCGGUGAAAUGCGUAGAUAUCUGCAGGAACACCCGUGGCGAAAGCGGCGCGCUGGACCACUACUGACGCUGAGGAACGAAAGCUAGGGGAGCGAACAGG